AUUAGGUAUUGGAGGCACAUAUUCUUUACUGGUGCUUCACUAUGGAGCGCCUGCAUCCCUGAGGUUAGGAUAUUUAUCACCAUAUCUACUGUGAGUGAUCACCAUACUCCAGAUUGUACAGACAUAAAAUCCCAUGAACCCCCAACAAGUAUUCCUCGUUUUCCAUCCAAGGACGUAGUACCUCUGUUACACAAAACUCAGAUACCUUGGCAAUAUAAGGAUGCAACUUCAAGACAGUUAGUUAGCGAACACAAAGCUUGUGCAUACAUCCAGAUGUCGUUUUGUCAAUACUGUUGUCGGGGCUGUGUUGUGGUUUGUAAUUCUUGUCAACAACAUAAUCUGCACUCCAACAUUUCACGAAGUCUUCAUCGUGGAAAAGGCUAUACUUGUUUCCGAGAUGAGAACGCAACUAUUUCCGGAUUGCGUUAUCUGGAACGCAAAUACAUAGUUCACGUAAACAGCAAUGUUUGAAGUCUGCUUCUGACAUAUAGACAUUGUGUCUAAUCUUCCUACUGUUCGCUAUGCCAAACCAACAUGAAAUAAACUAUAUUGUUUUAAACAUUUUGUUAUGAAAUAAUUUAUUAGGCAUAUUUACUAUCUUGACACAAGAACGAUUAAGUAAAUAAUAAUAUUUCUUGCAUAUAUGUUGCCAGGUACAUCGAAAUGACGGAGAGGACGUACAACGUUCACCCUUGCACUCACACAUUUCAUAGCACUUUGGACCUGUUAGUAUGCAAUACGAUGAACGCAGCGCAUCUUGGUAACUGUAUAUCCCGGCCAUGUUCUCAGAAAUAUAUAUUCUUACAUUCCUGUAUCGAC